GUGGGGAAUCUUCCGCAAUGGACGAAAGUCUGACGGAGCAACGCCGCGUGAGUGAAGAAGGUUUUCGGAUCGUAAAGCUCUUUCGUUAGGGACGAACGUGCUCUUUGUGAAUAAUGAGGAGUAAUGACGGUACCUAAAUAAGAAGCCACGGCUAACUACGUGCCAGCAGCCGCGGUAAUACGUAGGUGGCAAGCGUUGUCCGGAAUUAUUGGGCGUAAAGCGCGCGCAGGCGGGAUAUCAAGUCUGUCUUAAAAGUGCGAGGCUCAACCUCGUGGGGGGACAGAAACUGGUAUUCUUGAGUGUCGGAGAGGAAAGUGGAAUUCCAAGUGUAGCGGUGAAAUGCGUAGAGAUUUGGAAGAACACCAGUGGCGAAGGCGACUUUCUGGACGAUGUCUGACGCUGAGGCGCGAAAGCUAGGGGAGCGAACGGGAUUAGAAACCCCAGUAGUCC
rnacentral:rRNA from 1 species